CGCCCCCCCCCAACAUGUCAAUCAUGGCAGCAGGAGGACGCACGCAGGCAGGAACAGCAUCAAACCGGUUUGUGUGUCUGUUAAACGGACCCCGCCUCCUGCAGCGGGAGGAUGGAGGAGCUGGAGCCGUGAAAACACACCGAGAGCAGCCGAGGGAGAUGGAGACAGCCUGUGGGGCCGCAGGAGGAAGGAGCCCUAUGAACCAGAAGACUGCUCAGCUUGUUUCCUCAUCCUGAAGUGUCCCUGCAGAUCACCCCUCAUCUCACCAUGUCGCCUCAAGCCCCCAACCCUACAACUGCCCAGACUGCCCAGCCCCCGGCCCCUGGCCCUCCAGCUGCUCCAACAGCCCAGCCCCCAUUCCCUAGCCCUCCAGCUGCCCAGCCCCCGGCCCCUGACGGGGGUUGGGGCUGGGUGAUUGUAGUGUCCAGCUUCCUGGCUCUGCUGCUGGGGUAUGGCUCUUCUCAGUCGGUGGGCGUCCUCUACCCUGAGUGGCUGCUCGCCUACGGGGAGGGGAAGGCCAUGACAGCCUGGGUGGGCUCAGCGGUGGCUGGAGUUGGACUCAUAGUGGGUCCUGUCUGCAGUGUUUGUGUGGUGAACUUUGGAGUUCGGCCCGUCACCAUCUUCAGUGGUGUGAUGGUGGCGGGGGGGUUUAUGCUCAGCGCCUUCGCCCCCAACGUCCCUUUCCUCAUCUUCUCUUACGGCAUCGUGGUCGGUGUUGGUUUAGGUCUCUUGUAUGCUGCCGUUGUCAUCAUCACCUGUCUAUACUUUGACAAGAAGAGAGGCCUGGCGCUGGGAAUAGUGAGCACAGGUACGGGCGUGGGCGGUGCCCUGUUUGCCACGCUGCAGAGUGAGCUCAUUGAGGUGUUCGGUCUGGAGGGCUGCCUCCUCAUCAUUGGAGCACUGGCACUCAAUGUGGUGCCAUGUGGCGGCCUCAUGCGACCUUUAACCGCGCCGAGGUACUACCUCAAACAGCGCGCCGCCAUCCUGGAGCAGCAUCUUCAGGAAGAGGUGAAAGAGAAAGAAGAGGAGUUGUCCAAUCAGGAGCCUUCAGCCAAAGAUCCUGUUGUUGUCAUGGAAACCAAGGAGCCACUUGUGAGGAGGAGGAGCUUUUUCAGCUUCUCGACCUUCGUCAAAAAGAUGAAACAUUAUUCCCAAUGUUUGUCCUCCAUGCUGUCUCUCCUUCAGGACAGAGUCCUCAUGGCGUUCUGUGUCACUUUCCUCCUCUUCUGCCUCGGUAGUUUCCCCCCUCAGAUGUUCAUGGAGGACCUGGCUCGGAGCUCCGGGCUGUCGAAGGGCGUCACCUCCAUCUCCCUGGUGUCCCUCAACUCUAUCGCGACUGGUGUGGGUAAACUGGGGCUGGGUGUCAUAGCUGACAUGUCGUGUGUCAACAGCGUCCUCCUGUAUGCUCUGACGGUGGCGGUGAGCGGGCUGGGGGUGCUGCUCAUUCCCUUCGCCAGCUCGUACAUGGAGCUGCAGGUGCUGAUGGCGGUCCUGGGCUUUUCGAUCGGGAACUGGACUCUGACGCCGUACGUCACCAGUAAGGUAGUAGGCGUGGAGAAGCUCCCUGAGGCUCAUGGGAUCCUGAUGUUUUUCGGAGGUGUUGGCAUCACACUAGGCCCUCCUGUCGUAGGUUCUUUCUACGACUUCAGUCAGUCGUACGACCUCGCCUUCUACCUCAGCGGCGGCUGCAUGAUGGCCGGCAGCCUCCUCCUCUUCCUCACCGCCAUCCUGCCGCAAAAAGAAACCCCUCCUCUUCCUCCGCCUGAGACCGAGCUCAUCAACUGCACGGUCACCAUGGCAACAGACGCUACCUCAACUGUCACCUGACACAGCAAGCAAAUCCGGAUCCUGGAUCUGUAUGAAGACGUGUCUGAGAAGGGCUCUCAUUUUAGUGUAGAGCGUCAGACUGAAUUUACC